rnacentral:rRNA from 1 species
UGGGGAAUAUUGCACAAUGGGGGGAACCCUGAUGCAGCGACGCCGCGUGGGUGAAGGAGUAUUUCGGUAUGUAAAGCCCUAUCAGCAGGGAAGAUAAUGACGGUACCUGACUAAGAAGCCCCGGCUAACUACGUGCC